AAACGGAGAACGCAUGUUAGUAUUCUAAAAAAUAAUACACAUAAAUUGGAAGAUGACUUUUCAUAAUUAAGUUGAAUUUUCUGGACCAAUUUUACACGUGUGGCACAAUAUAAAGCAACUAAAUAUUUUAUUUCAUUUUCUUUCUUUUCAGAAAUCAGCUGUUCGCUAGCACACUUUUAAAAGCUGUCAACAAGUUUUGGUGCCACUUUUCAAGAUAUAUUAACAUCGAAAACUCGACUUUACGCCAAAAAAUCGAUUUCUGGACCACAGUUCACUGCGAGUAUUCUUACUCGAACCAAUUCCCACACAAAUAAUGGCGUGCAAGUCGGAGCCGAGGACCAGCAGCAGCGCAGUGGAGCAACUGGUGGAGUGCAAAAA